GGGCUUGACCGGUUUUGACAGCGGGUAGAAGUGGUUUGUAAGCAUGCAGUGCGUCGUUGUUCGGCACUUUAAUCUCGGAUGAUAAAAAAUUAAUUGGCGAAAAUAAUUACGCUCUUGCUGCGUGAUCGAAGUAUAGUAGAUCUUACGCUUUAUUUCAGCUCCAGGAGUUGAAACGAGACAUCACCCGGAAGCUCUGGCUUCGAAGCAGUCCGAAACGGUGGUGCAGGAAUAUCGGAGAUAGUCUGAAAGAGGUCCCGGCUUUUAGAUGAAACAAAGGGAAUAAGCUUGUUAUUGGUGGCUUCAGUCUUGUAGCAAGUCGAAAAAAAAGGUGAGGAUAAGCAUGUAGAAAGCAAAUUAAUUCCUCGUUUGGACGAGGGUUCGAAUCCCUCCAGGUCCACUC
rnacentral:tmRNA from 1 species